UACGAAGGGGGCUAGCGUUGCUCGGAAUUACUGGGCGUAAAGCGCACGUAGGCGGGUCAAUAAGUCGGGGGUGAAAUCCUGGAGCUCAACUCCAGAACUGCCUUUGAUACUGAAGAUCUUGAGUUCGGGAGAGGUGAGUGGAACUGCGAGUGUAGAGGUGAAAUUCGUAGAUAUUCGCAAGAACACCAGUGGCGAAGGCGGCUCACUGGCCCGAUACUGACGCUGAGGCACGAAAAGCGUGGGGGAGCAAACAGGG
rnacentral:rRNA from 1 species